UGGUCGUAGAAAAGAAAACAUCGUGGCAGGAGGUGGCUUUGUGGUUCUUCAAGUGGAAAAACAAUCUGGAAUAGAGGAUCAAAAUAAUGGCUUGACGCAAACAUACAGAGCUAGCUCUGUGUUAUAUGGGGUCACCACAAGGAUCACUGAUCACUCCAUCCUAUAAACCAACAAGAUUUUGGAUUCAACAGCCAAUAAUUCCAGAAGAAGGACGUCAAACCAGGAUUUUCUGAUUAGAGGCAGCAUGGCUACCUAAUGAGCCACUCAAACCCCAGUCUACAUGUGUACUGUGCAUACGUUACUGCAUUUUGUGUCAGCGCAUGCAUUUGCUAUACGCCAAUUAGUAACAGCAGAAUUGAGAGCCUUGCUCUUCACUUUUAUGAAGCAGGCUGUAGACUAGUGUACUGUUAAUUUUGAUUUCUCAGGGUUUGAGUUAUGCUCCUAUUAGGAAUAAAAAUAGUUACAAGAUCUGUAAAGAAUGUUCUUUUUUAUACUUGUUGUAGAAUUUUGAAUUUAAAUUGGCCUACGGUUUAUAUUUUGGUGUA